GACGAACGCUGGCGGCGUGCUUAACACAUGCAAGUCGAACGGAAAGGCCCUGCUUUUGUGGGGUGCUCGAGUGGCGAACGGGUGAGUAACACGUGAGUAACCUGCCCCUGACUUUGGGAUAACUUCAGGAAACUGGGGCUAAUACCGGAUAGGAGCUCCUGCUGCAUGGUGGGGGCUGGAAAGUUUCGGCGGUUGGGGAUGGACUCGCGGCUUAUUAGCUUGUUGGUGUGGUAGUGGCUUACCAAGGCCUUGACGGGUGGCCGGCCUGAGCGGGUGACCGGCCACAUUGGGCCUGGGAUACGGCCCAGACUCGUACGGGAGGCAGCAGUGGGGAAUAUUGCACUAUGGGCGGAAGCCUGAUGCAGCAACGCCGCGUGCGGGAUGACGGCCUUCGGGUUGUAAACCGCUUUCGCCUGUGACGAGGCGUGAGUGACGGUAAUGGGUAAAGAAGCACCGGCUAACUACGUG
rnacentral:rRNA from 1 species